GAAGUAUUUUGGCUAUUGGAGCUAGAAUUUGCCUGCAACUAAGUGCAGCAUUAUUGCUUUUGAACUUUUCAAAAUAGCAUUGUUCCUCUUGAACAGUUAGUGCAUCUUUGCUCAACAAUUUGCGUACAUUUUAAUUACAUAGUUUUCCUCUUAUGCUGCCUAAUAGCUAUAUGAUAUGCUUUAAUUAAGGCUCAUGAUGAGAGCUUGGCUCUCCUGAAUUGUUUCCCUAUUGUCUCCUAUGAUUAAUAGACAAUUAGUCUUUUAUUUGUAGACUACUUGCCACAGUCUUUUCUUAGGGUGGUAGGGCUGAAAGCAACAGGAUCAAACAUCUCAAGCCUGCUGCUAGAUGUUGUGGUCUGACAAACUACAUGGCUUCUGUUAUCAAAACAGGUUCUACAGUCCGCAGUCAGACACCCCUGGAAAGAAGCUUUGUUGUGUGUUUCUC
rnacentral:lncRNA from 1 species